UACGUAGGUGGCAAGCGUUGUCCGGAUUUACUGGGCGUAAAGGAUGCGUAGGCGGUUCCGUAAGUCGUGAAGUCAAAUCUCUGGGCUCAACCCAGAAUCGCUUCCGAUACUGCGGUGACUGGAGUCCGGUAGGGGAGUGUGGAAUUCCUGGUGUAGCGGUGAAAUGCGCAGAUAUCAGGAGGAACACCAACAGCGAAGGCAGCACUCUGGGCCGGUACUGACGCUGAGGAGCGAAAGCAUGGGGAGCGAACAGG
rnacentral:rRNA from 1 species